rnacentral:sRNA from 1 species
UUGACAGCCUUGGAGACAAAGUCUUUAGUGAGUGCACACAACAGAUACGCUGUGGGAAACAGAAGUCCAAGCCUAACCCCAGUUAAGAUUGCCCACUAUGCCUCAAUGCUGCCUUGGAGGCACCUAGUCUAGAGGUAAGAAGAUAGUUCAGUCUCCAGACCCAUUCAAGCUACAACUACU